rnacentral:tRNA from 1 species
GGGUCCUUAGCUCAUCUAGAGCAUUUGACUGCAGAUCAAGAGGUCACCAGUUUGAACUUGGUAGGAUCA